AACUAUACAUAUAUUCGUUUGAACGCGCGUCUCCUCUUUAAGGAGGUUUCACAUUACUCGACUCGCGUCAGGAUAAACGAGAGAGGGGGAAGAAGAACUCUUGCGGAGUAGCCUCUUUCCAACGUAUUUGCACGUUUCGCGCGUCGAUCGCACGCGACGCAAUUAUACGGAAGUGUUUCGAAAUGGGAGACGUGCAAAUAUUCCUUCCAUGUUCGACGUUUGAAUUUGCCUACGUACUUGGACACUGGAAUGUCUCUUAGCAUUAUAUCGAAGGGUCGAAGAUUCCAUUGAGUUAUCAGAAAUAAAUUGGAUGAACACGGAAAGCGUUGGGUGUAUUUACGAUUCAUAUUAAAUCAGAAUACCAAAUUAUUGGAGGUAAGCGUGGAUAAGUAGAGGGCUCCACUGACGUGAACACAGAAUAUCAGAUCGCCAGAAAUCCUAGAAUAAUAUUUACAGAUUGGGCACGAGUUUCCAGGAGCGGGCCGUGUAAUUUUGGAAAUUACGAGACCCACAGGGGAAUAUAUACGCGUAAUUAGAAAAGUCGUUGAAUUCCUGGAAGCGGGGACCGAUGAUUGACCGUGCGGCCGGCUUAAAUGAAGCGACUGGCCGGUCGUCGGUGGCUCGUAAUUAUCGAGAGACUCGGGUUAAUUGGCUUGACCGCCGCACUCGUCCCAUUCUCAACGCGUUUCGCUGUAAUUUAAAGUAAUGCAAUCCGGUUUCUAAUUAGCGCACUCUAUUAAAACCGUACAGAAAACUGUCGACCUAAUGUACUUUCCUGCAUUACCACUACUACUUACUACUCCCGCCAUUUUUUACAUCCCCCCUCCUUAAUUAAUCGCGGAUUAUAGGGAUAACCCGCGGCCACUCGGUUUUGCACCCUUUUUUUCUUUUUUUUUUUUUUUUUUUAAAAAUUCUCUUCGGUCUUAAAAAAUAAAAUUCGACGAAAAGAUGUCUUCUCGAUAGAUUCGAAUCCUUUUUCUUCGAAUAUCCUUUUCUUGAAAAGUCACGGCUCGAGCCUGAAAUUUUUAUCACUUUAGCGAUGGAAAAGAAUUUUGAAAUACGUAAAAGUUUAUUUUUUUUUCUUUUAUGAAAAUAAAUAAUGUGUGUAUGUGUGUGUGUAUGCGUGUGCGAUAGAAAGAGUUUAAAUUUACGGAAUAAUUGUUAUACUUGCAAAGUUAAACGAGGUUAAAAAAUUUUAUUGCCAAUCAAAAUUUAAUUUGAAAAUCAUAAAUGGAUAUUGAAAAUUUUUACAAAAAUAUUUUCUAUCUUCGGGGAAGAAUGUAGCAUCUCUCAUCAAAUAUAAUAAAUUCAAGAGAAUAACGCGUUGCAAGUAACAUGAAACUACUUUUAGACUUAGGUAGUCUUUCGAUUUUUAAAACUACGCUGUUGCGCGCUAUUUUUAUCAAAAACAGAAACGCGUAACUGAAAUAUGUCAAGUGAAGUUACUAAGUUAAAAUUAUAACCCUGUUAUUAUAAUUAUAAAUAUAUUAUAAUUAUAAACUCGAGACUUUACGCUCAUUUUAUAUUUCGUUUUUCUUUUCAAAAAAAAAAAAAAAAAGAAAAAAAAAGGAAUUAAUUAUUCGAAUAUUUUCGCGCGUAAUGUAUCCUAUAUUCGCUUUUGAUCGUGUUACAAAAAAAAAAAGAAAAAAAAAGGGAAAAAAGAGAGAAAGAAAGGAUGCCUUACAGAGAAAAUACAUAUAUUUCGUAUGCCUCGCAGAUAUUUCACUUUACCGAAAAGGCGGACGUGCGUUGCCUUUGAUCCUCCUCGACCGUACUCAAAGACCGUUCAUACAAUUUGCAUUAACUUUUACCGAAUCCGGGAUCCAUCCAUCCAUUUUCGAAUAUUCCAUUUAGAUAAAUAAUCCCAUAAAUUAAUCAUAUAUUAAAUUCAUUUCUUCUAAUAUCACGCGUAAUAUCAAUUUUUUUCCAAUUAAUUUUUUUUUUCCGCGAGAAAGAAAUUUUUCCCGCGACGAUUUCCAUCGAUCCUUUAACAAUCAAAUAGAAAUACUUUUUCACACGUGUUCAUACAAAGAAGAGAAAAAAACGUGAAAAAAUAUAGUAUAUCGAAGGUUAGGUGAGUAAAUAAGUUCCUUCCCCUUUCUUUCUAUGAUCGUAACUUCUAACCGAAUUCUAAUUACUUUACCGUUCGUAGCGCCAUCUGAAAGAACGUUCUUUUGUUUUUAAGAAGAGUCGCGACGAGCGCUCUAAACAGUUUCCAGUCCUAUGCGAUAGUUUAGAGCGAUAGCAUCGUUGCGUGCGAGAAGUAUCGUUCGCGUUACUGUUUACUUUUUGCAUUCCAACUCGGGAAAUCGACUGUCGAAGCUAUUGAAAUGUUUGCGCAUCACUGGGAGAGAACAUUGUAUCUUACGAAACAAGGAAAAAAUCCUAACAAAGAUUUAAAGCUGGAAAUUUUAAUUUGGAAGACGAUCGUUCAGGUGCAUCGAGAAAGUUCGAUGAGAAAAUGAGUUAAAGGAAUCGCUCGAAAAUCCGAUCUAGACGCGGAAAGAAUUGGCAGAAACAUAAGCGCUAUCUAUUCGAUUUAAAUAAUUGUAUCUAAUUUAUGCGAUAGAAUCUAAAAUUUGGAAAAAAAAAGGGAAAGAACUUAUUUGCAUACUUAUAUAUAAUUUGUCUCCUGCGGCGAUUCCUUCUGUGAACGUGGUGAGUGCGUGCAGAUAAGAACGAUUAUAUAGGCACGCUCAUUAUUCCGAGCAACCGGCUCACGCUCGAAUAAUAAUAGCGUGGUGAAACGACAAACGUCUUAUCGUCUCAUUCGAGUGUUUAAAUAAGUAAACGCUCUCGCUUCCUCGAUCUCUCCAAUUAAUCGAGAGAAUUGUUGAACGCGUUAACGCGUGCCGUGUAUUUUCUACCGCUGAAACUAAUCGCGCCGGAUACGUCCGAUUUGAAUUGCGUGCAACGGUUCUCAACUUGUGGAAUUAAUGUAAAAUUUGAAAUAAAUUCGACGCGAAACGACGACAUCGGCGUAAUAAAGAUGCGCAGAAAUGAAUAUUUGGUAUAGCAUAAGACGAUUUUUCUUGGGAGGGGGGGAAGAAGAGGCGACUUGCGACGGAUAGAACGCAUUUCAAAAACAGUGACACAUCGUUGUCGGCGCGAGAAGAGAGUACUGCGAAGAGUGGUGUGAGGGGUCGAUUGAAAAUGUGAAUACGAGGGGAAGAAGAAGAAGAAUAAAAAUUUUUUCCUUUGA